CUAGUUAAUAAUAAUUUAUCAGUUCAUAUUAUAAAGAUUAUUUUUUAAAUUUCAGUAAAUAGUUGAAGCUUGGCCUGAUUUGUCAGCUGACAUUAUCUUCAGAUAAUCGGAGGACAUUCUGGAUGUCAUAUCGUUGCUAAAUUAGUGUGUGUAAAAUUGGCAAUUGUAUUGCAUUCAAUAAGCUAGUAUCAGCAUGUUUUUAUCAUUCAGUUUUUUAAGGGGAAACUUGAAUUUUACAAGUAAACAAAUUAAAGUUGUUAAAUUUCUUGUAAACAAAAGAAAUUCUCAUAGAAAUCUGGCUGAUGCCUAGAAGUAAUUACUUAUUUCCGGUUGGUCUCAUAAGUGCAAUAAGUAUUGUGUUUGUCAAUCUGCAAAAUAAUUACAAUUUAGGGAAGAAACUUUAUUCUUUCGCUCGUAUUUCACCACAGUUUUCAAGUUUAAAAGUUGGGAAUGUAUAUUCAAUUACAUUUGAUAAUAUUUCAUCAAUAUGCUUAUUGAUUGGAUGUACAAUUAUUCUAAUUUCUUUCUACACCCUUUUAAAAAUCAUACAAAUGAAGAAAAAGAAGAUCGAUGUAAACCAAGGAAUUAAAGAUCUGAAUGAAAAGUUUAUUAGUAGUGAAUACGUUAGAAAUGAGCUCACAAAGCAAUGUUUAAAGAAAAUUGAAGAACUUCCUUACUAUAAUCGGUUUUUGGAAGGAUUGGUUGCAGCAGAAAACUGUUAUAAGACACCAAAUCCAGACCAGGAUUCCGGGUUUACAGGUGAUGAAAGCUCAAGAGAGUUUGAACUACCAAAGAUUGGAGAAACAAAUUAAUAUCAGAUUAACAAUAAAAUUGUAUAUUUGUUACUCGUUUUGCCAGUG